rnacentral:misc_RNA from 1 species
AACCAUAGAAACCUGCGGAGUACCUGCGGAAGGAUCAUUACAGAGUUGCAAAACUCCCUAAACCAUUGUGAACGUUACCUAAACCGUUGCUUCGGCGGGCGGCCCGGGUCCUUCCCGGCGCCCAUCGGCCCUCGCGGGCGCCCGCCGGAGGUAAACCAAACUAUUGCAUUGUAUGGCCUCUCUGAGUCUUCUGUACUGAAUAAGUCAAAACUUUUAGCAAUGGAUCUAAGAUCGGAAGAG